rnacentral:rRNA from 1 species
GGUUUCCGUAGGUGAACCUGCGGAAGGAUCAUUAUCGAGCGCUACAAUUAGGAAGACCGGGGUCGAGGGGGUUUAUUCUCUCUUCUCUGUCAACCUUUUUAUUAUACACACCUUGUGCAUCUAUUGUAGGUCCUCGAAAAGAGGAUCUAUGUUUUAUAUACAUUACCUAUCAUACAUGUCUAGAAUGUCAUUUGAUUAUUGGAAAUUAUACAACUUUCAGCAAUGGAUCUCUUGGCUCUCGUAUCGAUGAAGAACGCAGCGAAUUGCGAUAAGUAAUGUGAAUUGCAGAUUUCCAGUGAAUCAUCGAAUCUUUGAACGCACCUUGCGCUCCUUGGUAUUCCGAGGAGCAUGCCUGUUUGAGUGUCAUUUUAAUUCCUCAACCAUGUCUUGAUUGCGCAUGGCUUGGACUUGGGGGUUGCUGGCCGCCUCACUGCGUCAGCUCCCCUUGAACGCAUCAGCGAUGGAAAUGUGCUGACGUGCACGGCCUUUUUGACGUGAUAAUGAUCGUCAUCAUGGGGCUGGAGCGUCAUGAAUCGCUUCUAAUCCAGACAAUAACUGCUACACUACU